CUAUACAUGCAAGUCGAGCGCGGGAAGCGAGUGGAUCCCUUCGGGGUGAAGCUCGUGGAACGAGCGGCGGACGGGUGAGUAACACGUGGGCAACCUGCCUGUAAGAUCGGAAUAACCCCGGGAAACCGGGGCUAAUGCCGGGUAAUACUUUCUUUCGCAUGAAGGAAAGUUGAAAGAUGGCUUCUUGCUAUCACUUACAGAUGGGCCCGCGGCGCAUUAGCUAGUUGGUGAGGUAACGGCUCACCAAGGCGACGAUGCGUAGCCGACCUGAGAGGGUGAUCGGCCACACUGGGACUGAGACACGGCCCAGACUCCUACGGGAGGCAGCAGUAGGGAAUCUUCCGCAAUGGACGAAAGUCUGACGGAGCAACGCCGCGUGAACGAUGAAGGUCUUCGGAUCGUAAAGUUCUGUUGUUAGGGAAGAACAAGUACCGUUCAAACAGGGCGGUACCUUGACGGUACCUAACGAGGAAGCCCCGGCUAACUACGUGCCAGCAGCCGCGGUAAUACGUAGGGGGCAAGCGUUGUCCGGAAUUAUUGGGCGUAAAGCGCGCGCAGGCGGUUCCUUAAGUCUGAUGUGAAAGCCCACGGCUCAACCGUGGAGGGUCAUUGGAAACUGGGGAACUUGAGGACAGAAGAGGAGAGUGGAAUUCCACGUGUAGCGGUGAAAUGCGUAGAUAUGUGGAGGAACACCAGUGGCGAAGCGACUCUCUGGUCUGUUUCUGACGCUGAGUGCGAAA
rnacentral:rRNA from 1 species